rnacentral:rRNA from 1 species
GAUAGCAUUUUGUGGAAGCUCGCCAAUGAUGGGAACUACUCUGCUAAGUCUGCAUAUUUGGCGCAGUUCGCUGGACUCACCCUCUCUACCUUUUAGGUCUCAAUUUGGAAGGCCUGGGCUCCUCCCAGAUGCAAAUUCUUUGUCUGGUUAGUCAGUCAAAACAGAAUUUGGACCGCGAAUAGGCUGCAACACCGAGGAUGGCCAAACUGUGACUGA